rnacentral:lncRNA from 1 species
GCCCCUCUCAACAGUUAGAAACUGAGGCGUCCUAGCCCCUAGACCUCACGGGUCCAGGUCCCCAGCCCUCUUUCCUGCAGAGCCCAGCCCUGUGGGUCCCCACCCCCACCCGGUUUCAGGCUAGUCUGAGAAGGCGGUUUCCUCAUCUCCAAGCAGCUUGCCCACCUUCUGGCCCGAGAUGGGGAAAUGACCCAACUGCCUGUGAGGACACUGUGUGUAGACAUCCUCAUUUUCACCCCGCGAGAACAGUGAGGAAGAGAAGAGAAUGUGAAGAGCCAGAGCCCGAGACCUGAGAAGAUCCAAGGCCACAGUGGACACAGACCCGAAGGCCUCUGAGUCCCCCAGGAUCUAGGAGGACCAGGAAAAGCAGUGGCUCCCUGGAGGGUGGAGGACACAGGACGAGAUUCGACGGCUCUGCUGUAUGACUGCACUGUUAGCAGAAUUAUGUUAGUUAGUAGAUUCAUGUCACUGUAUGGCAAAACCAAUACAAUAAUGUAAAGUAAUCAGCCUCCAAUUAAAAUAAAUAAUUAAAAGAGAAAAAUCAUGGCUAGGUUCUAAAAAAAAAAAGAAGUCA